rnacentral:rRNA from 1 species
CAGGGAAUCUUGCGCAAUGGGCGAAAGCCUGACGCAGCGACACCGCGUGGGGGAAGAAUGCUUUCGAGUUGUAAACCCCUUUUCCCGGGGAAGAGAACGGACGGUACCCGGGGAAUAAGGCUCGGCUAACUUCGUGCCAGCAGCCGCGGUAAUACGAGGGGUGCUAGCGUUGUCCGGAAUUACUGGGCGUAAAGGGUCCGUAGGCGUUUUGCUAAGUUGAUUGUUAAAUCCAUCGGCUCAACCGAUGACCUGCAAUCAAAACUGGCAGAAUAGAGUUCGAGAGGGGAAAGUAGAAUUCCUGGUGUAGCGGUGACAUGCGUAGAUAUCAGGAGGAACACCGAUGGCGAAGGCAGCUUUCUGGCUCGAUACUGACGCUGAGGGACGAAAGCGUGGGGAGCAAACAGG